rnacentral:misc_RNA from 1 species
GAUGAAGAACGCAGCGAAAUGCGAUAAGUAAUGCGAAUUGCAGAAUCCGUGAGUCAUCGAAUCUUUGAACGCACAUUGCGCCCCUUGGUUAUUCCGAAGGGCAUGCCUGUUCGAGCGUCAUUAUCACCCCUCAAGCCCUGGCUUGGUGUUGGACUUUAGCUAUAGCUUUGCCUAUCAACUGGUCUCAAAGAUAGUGACGGCGCCCCAGAGGGAACCGGGUACGAGGAGCUUUUUACUAAGCAUGUAUCUGGGACGACUCUGGGCGACGGUCUUGUUAUACUUUUUACCUAAGUGUUGACCUCGGAUCAGGUAGGAAUACCCGCUGAACUUAAGCAUAUCAAUAAGCGGAGGA